GGGCAAUGGCGGGUGCCCCUCCUCCAGCCUCGCUGCCGCCUUGCAGUUUGAUCUCAGACUGCUGUGCUAGCAAUCAGCGAGACUCCGUGGGCGUAGGACCCUCUGAGCCAGGUGUGGGAUAUAAUCUCGUGGUGCGCCGUUUUUUAAGCCCGUCGGAAAAGCACAGUAUUCGGGUGGGAGUGACCCGAUUUUCCAGUUUCAAACAUCUUCAAGGCAGAAACGUGUUGUAUUUGCAUGCUGUUUAGAAGGCAGUGUACUGAAUAGUACCAGUUUUUUCAGAGACAAAUAUGGUGUACUUAUUUGAAAAGAAAGGAUGAUACACAUACAUAGCCAUCCAAAAAAUCCUGCAACCAGUAGCAAAUUAUAUUACACAUUGGACACAUCCUAAAUGAUGCAAGACAAUUUCAGCCUCAGAACAUGCAAAACCACGACACACUGGUAUGGUCAAACCAGGCUCUUCACUCUCCAUUCAACUUGACAUUUGCAUUUCUUCUCCUUCAGCCUCUAUAAUUAUAUUGUUGUUUAUUUAACAUACCUUUUUUCUAAUCUCUACUCACAGUGACAUCCUAAAAUGUCACUUGAAAGUCUAUGUUGACAGAAGAAUUCCUCUCUUUAAAUUCUGGGAAGCUAUUUUUUGGGAACCUAUUAUGUCUCAAAUGCUAUGUACAAUUAGAGUUGCUUCAGUUCCAGAAUAUUCAGUUUUGCCAUGCAAUUCAUUGAUUAAUUGCAGAAUUAGCUAUAUCCUUUUGUGUGUUAUUUGGUUUACAGAUUCAAACUCUGUAUAUAGUAAACUUCUUAUGGGAAGAAAUCAUUUCUCAAACUAAUAUGAGUGUAAUAGUUAAAAAAGAAACAAUUUAUACAUUUUUAAUUUAAUAAACAUUUAUUUAUCAUUAAUCUUGAACAGGAUUUUCUGAUAGAUUAUUUUAAGGUCUAGAGCGAGAAAUGUGGGCGAAAGAUAAAGCAAGCUUCAUAUACAAUUAUAACAUAAUUUGUUCUGCACGUGACAUAUAAAAAAUACAAAAUACAGGAGUCCAAAGAGGAGACUCUUAUUUGGUUUGAUGUAUUAGGAAAUUUAAAGGUAGUUUUUAAGAUGAAUAGACUUUUCAAGCUAUAAAGAUGUGGUUAACUAUAAGGGGCUAAAGACAGAGCAGAAAAAUAGUCAUACACAAGAAAGUAAAAUAUAUUGAAUGAUUUUGCUAAUUAUUUGAGUUAGAAAUUAUUGGAAACAAACAUUGUAGACUAUUACAGACAGGGGGCAAUAAAGAUCUUAAAUAUGACGACUAUUACAAAAAAUGGAAGAUGAGAGCCAGCGUAUAUUUCAAAUAUUGACUAACACAUGACAACUGAUAUGCAAAUAAUUCAGAGGGAGAAAUCAACAUUUUUAAGACUUGUGAAAUGGAAGAUUUUUGGUGUGAUUAAGUCAAGGAGAAAAGUCAGAGGAAAAUGGGCAGGUAAUAGUGGAUGAGGAGAACAUCUAAAUCAGUGGGGUUCUUAACAUUGUCUGCACAUCAUCUGUGACAUUUUUAAAACCACUAGUGACUCGAUUGCACCCACUGAAAUUCUCAUGUAAUGUGUCUAGAGUGUGUCAUGGGCAUAGGUAUUAAAAAAAAAACUCUCUAGGAAACUCUUUUAUUAAGCUAGGAAAGUUCUGAUCUAGAUUCUGUCCACUUACCAAAGAAAUUCACAAGCCAGUAACAUCCACUUUAUCUGGAAACUUGAUAGAAAUCCAGAUUUUUAGUCUCUAUCGCAGAAUACCUGAAUUAGAAUCUGCAGUUUAAAUGCUUCCUCAAGUGAUUUAACUUUUUAGUACUGCUUACCUUGAACAUGCUAGGAUUAUCUGUGGUGCUUUUAGAAAACAACUACCUAGUUCCUGUAACACAAGAACAGAAAACCAAACACCGCAUGUUCUCACGCAUAAGUGGGAUUGAACAAUGAGAACAUAUGGACACAGGGAGGGGAACAAGACACACCAGGGACUGUCGGGGGUGGGGGCCAAGGGGAGGGAGAACAUUUAAGCAAAUACCUAAGGCAUGUGGGGCUUAAAACCUAGAUGAUGAGUUGAUAGGUGCAGCAAACCACCAUGGCACAGGUAUACUUAUGUAACAAACCUACACAUUCUGCACAUGUAUCCCAGAACUUAAAGUAAAAUAAAUUUUAAAAAAAAUGUAAAAAAAGGGGGACAAAGGGCACUAGGCAGUUAAUUAGCACAAAUAAAAUACACAUUGCCAAUAAACAGAAGAAAUAUUUAACAACAACAUAAAGAGCAAAUCCAAGACAUAUUUUUACUCUGAAAAGAAUUAAGUAUGGUAAUAAAAUAUAAAGAAGACUUCAUUGUUGCUAAUAAAACUAUAUAAUAUGUCCAGAGUAAUUAUCUGAUGAUGAUAAACAAAGCUAUUUAUUUUAACAGAAAUUUUCUAACUUGAUUUUUUUUUUUUUAUUUUAAGAGAAUGACCCUAUAUAGGGUUAGGGUUAGGGUUAUGAAGAAAGAGUUCACUUAUGCUUGGACAUGAUAUACAUGAUAUGGUAAAAUAAGUAUUUUGGAAAAAAAUACUCAUAUUGACACAUAACUAAGUUUGGCAGGAAUGUUUCAUCAGCCUUCAUUUUCUUUUUAAGCUGUCAUAGUUUUCUUUCUGUUAAACCUAAAAAACGACAUCAAAUAAAGAUAAUGAAUUAUUCAUUGAAAAAAUUAAAAAAAGAAAACAACCACUUGUAGGCCCCACCCACAGAAAUGCUGAUUUAAUUAGCAUAGGGUAGGGCCAAAGCACUGGGUAUUCUUUUAAACCACCACCAGAAAAUACAAAUAUGAGCCAAGUUUGAGAGCUACAGGUAGAGAAAGAAUGGUGUUAACUAUACAUCCAAAAGUCCGACUCCCUAGGCAGUUUUCUUUUUCUUUCAUUGUUUAUAACAGCAUUCAUAUGUAACUAGAAGAAGAAAGAGAAAUGUUUUCUUUCUCUAAAUGUAUUGCAAGAUAGAAGAGUAUUUAAUGAGAAGCCACAGAAAUAUUUUAUGUGACUGUAAUUUUAGCUGUAUUUGAAUCAGUUUGAAAUAAAAUGGAAGCGUAAAGUUGUACAAAAAAGAUCUCCCAGAAAGCACAAUAAAUAUCCAUACCAUCAAUAUACAAUAAUCUACUGAGAGUUCAGGUAAACUUUUUAGGCAUCUCUGGUUUUUUUCUUUUGAACUGAUAUGGAUAGCAACCCUGUUUCAAGGGACUUUAUAAUGACAGCCAAUGUGAAUUGUUGCCACACUCAAUUUGCAAGGGCAGAGUUUCAAGCUAGAAUAAUUGCCUAUUCCACUCCAGAGAUGGGAUGCUGACUGCUUCAUUACCAGCUGGAUGAACCAGGGCAUGAGCAAUUUCAGACAGUGUGAACCAUGCUCCUUUACACUACCCAUGGGCACUAGUUCCCAAAUCUACUUACUCUCUGUCCCCAGGAGACAACAGACACAUUUUGCUUGCUGAAAGGUGCUCUUGAUGGGGCUAAAAGAGAUGUGCAAAUGCACCUGUGUUUGCUCUGACAUCAUUCUACAAAGUGAAUCAUUAACCAUGUUGGAAUAGCAGAUAGACUCGCAUUGGGGAAUCAGUCAUUGGGGUUCUUCCAUUUUUAAUUGUUUUCCACCCGAGUUUAUCUUACUUCUGAGGCAAAAGGAUGGGCAAUUAUAUAAUCUAUUAUUAAACAGAUUGCAUAGUAAUAUUGGGAUAUAGCAGGCCAAUAAAUAUGACUAAGAAGGUUUAACUCACUAUUUAGUAUCUUGUGAUUCCAGGUAGUUCUAUAAGAACUACUAAGAAGAGCUGAUAAGCCUGGGGAAAUAAUUGCUUUAAAAAAGUAUCUGCAUUUACAAUUUUGCAUAGUUGAUAUAAACUGUUAUGAGAAUGAUUUUAGGGGACAACUUUUUUUUGCUCAAUUUAAAUUACUUAUAAUAGGCCAAGUGUGGUACUUAAAUAACCAAACCUCUUUAAAAAUCAAUAUUUUUUUCGUUUUGAGUUAGAGCAAACAUUGCUUGCACCACAAGCCAAUGUCAGAUUUUUUUUAAGUGCAUUAUUAAGUACAGCUUUAAACCAGAAUUGGGCAUGUACAUCAGUUUUCAGUACGGCAGAAACUAUGAUGGAAAUAUUGGUAAGAAUGAAAUUGAAGUAAUCAUACUCAAUCUAUUUGUUGUCUUAUUAAUUUGGAAUUACUUGAUAUUUUAUCUAUCUAUAAACAUAUGUGCAUAUAAAAUAUGGAUGUAAAGUAUAAACAAAUAAAAAUUUAAAAAUAUUU
rnacentral:lncRNA from 1 species